rnacentral:rRNA from 1 species
GACGAACGCUGGCGGCGUGCUUAACACAUGCAAGUCGAACGGAAAGGCCCUGCUUUUGUGGGGUGCUCGAGUGGCGAACGGGUGAGUAAAACGUGAGUAAACUGCCCUUGACUUUGGGAUAACUUCAGGAAACUGGGGCUAAUACCGGAUAGGAGCUCCUGCUGCAUGGUGGGGGUUGGAAAGUUUCGGCGGUUGGGGAUGGACUCGCGGCUUAUCAGCUUGUUGGUGGGGUAGUGGCUUACCAAGGCUUUGAAGGGUAGCCGGCCUGAGAGGGUGACCGGCCACAUUGGGACUGAGAUACGGCCCAGACUCCUACGGGAGGCAGCAGUGGGGAAUAUUGCACAAUGGGCGGAAGCCUGAUGCAGCAACGCCGCGUGCGGGAUGACGGCCUUCGGGUUGUAAACCGCUUUCGCCUGUGACGAAGCGUGAGUGACGGUAAUGGGUAAAGAAGCACCGGCUAACUACGUG